UCGGUCAGAUCCUGCUGAGCCCUGCUGACUCCAAACACAGGAUGCUAAAAAUGAAAUAAGGGGAGGGGCGGGGCGAGCCCCGCGGCGUGCCGUGCACUGUGGGCUUGCAGCCUCGGGGAAGGGACUAUCCGGGUAGUAACUACACAGAUACACGGCGCGGAAUACGGAAGACUUUCCGUUUGUUGUUUAGCUGCCUCUGCGAUGUUGGAGUGCUGGGCGUGGGCAUGAAGGGCCCUAGGAUAAGUAUCCAGAUGCACCCUUUUGAUUCCCGUGGUGAGCCAGCCCUGUUCCAGAGAGGACCCCUUCUUCCCCAAACACACACAGCCUGCCGGGAGCAUGGAACCAAGAGGGGCUGGGAAAGAUCCGGGAAACCAUUGCUUCAAGCAAAAAAAGAGUCAAUACCAUCUGGCCACAGGAUGACCUUCAAAGUUGAAAAUCAGGGCAGUCUCAAGACAGACACCGGAAAACGACGGGAGACCUCCUUCUCACAAAUAAUUCUAAGCUUCCCAUCACUCCCAAAACAGUUCCCUGCUAGGAAGUAACUGGAGCCACUGUGCACCCCAUCUUUCUUCCAAGGAACCUUCCGCCCCUGACUCCCUGUAGUCAACUGUAGAAGACAACCCCCACCCAGAGCCAGCCAGAACAUCCCAUCCCUCUGGCCACUACUGAUGUUCUGGAAAAGACACACAAACCCAGGGGGACCAUCAGAGUUCUCGCAGGGAACUGUGAGACCUGGACCGUAAGAGGCAGAGCUUUCUUUCCCUGUUCUGCUGGUGUUGACAAGUUCUAAGGAGAGUGUUUGUCUGGCUAGGAAGAUGGAGGCAGUGACAAAGCACUUUCAUUGCUGGAACCCCUCCAUCCUGCACUCCUAAGUUCAUGCCCAUUAUCCAUCCUUGGCCCUUCCCAAGUGGCUGGGUAACCACUUUUAACCUUUAAACAAGCUCGUUCUUCUCAGUGCCCCGUGACCUCACCCGUUAGGUGGGCUGAUGAUCAAUCCUGGUCACCUCGUGAGAUGGUUUCAAGGAUUCGAGGGAGGGGUCAGCACUUGAAACUAUGCCUGGCACAUAGUGUGCAUCUUAUAAAUGCUGGCGCUCAUUAUUAUUACUCUCUGUUAUGGAAUCCUCUGCUCUACCUUCUGACCUUGAACUAGUGUGAAUUAGAUUUCAGUCACUUGCAGCUAAAUAGUUUUGAUUAGAAUCAUCAGUUUGACAAGGAAGCUAAAAGUCAGAGGCCCAAAGCCAGUUUAUGAGAAAAUCCUUACAAGUAGUUUCUAGAUUGACCCUCUAACCCUUAGCGUCUUCCUCACCCAGUGCAUGCAUUAUCUCCCCAAAGAGAUGAUAAAUGAUAAAUCCCAGAUCUCACUGAUGUUUCUUUGCUCAGAUGGAACCUAGCUGGACUGGGUGCUUAAUAAAAACCAUGAGUUAGUUAUGUUUGGACAA